GAUGAACGCUGGCGGCGUGCCUAAUACAUGCAAGUCGAGCGAACGGACGAGAAGCUUGCUUCUCUGAUGUUAGCGGCGGACGGGUGAGUAACACGUGGAUAACCUACCUAUAAGACUGGGAUAACUUCGGGAAACCGGAGCUAAUACCGGAUGAUAUUUUGAACCGCAUGGUUCAAAAGUGAAAGACGGUCUUGCUGUCACUUAUAGAUGGAUCCGCGCUGCAUUAGCUAGUUGGUAAGGUAACGGCUUACCAAGGCAACGAUGCAUAGCCGACCUGAGAGGGUGAUCGGCCACACUGGAACUGAGACACGGUCCAGACUCCUACGGGAGGCAGCAGUAGGGAAUCUUCCGCAAUGGGCGAAAGCCUGACGGAGCAACGCCGCGUGAGCGAUGAAGGUCUUCGGAUCGUAAAACUCUGUUAUUAGGGAAGAACAUAUGUGUAAGUAACUGUGCACAUCUUGACGGUACCUAAUCAGAAAGCCACGGCCAACUACGUG
rnacentral:rRNA from 1 species